rnacentral:tRNA from 1 species
GAUAGCUCAGUUGGUAGAGCAGAGGACUGAAAA